rfam:Triticum aestivum genome assembly, contig: Triticum_aestivum_CS42_TGACv1_scaffold_115033_2AS
UAGAUACUCCCUCCGUCCCAAAAUUCUUGUCUUAGAUUUGUCUAAAUACGGAUGUAUCUAAUACUAAAACGUGACUUGAUACAUCCGUAUCUAGACAAAUGUAAGACAAAAAUUUUGGGACAAAGGGAGUAUUUU